AACUUUUGGCAACGGAUCUCUUGGCUCUCGCAUCGAUGAAGAACGCAGCGAAAUGCGAUAAGUAAUGUGAAUUGCAUAACUUUGUGAAUCAUCGAGUCUUUGAACGCACAUGGCACUCUUUGGGCCUUCCAAAGAGUAUACCUGUUUGAGAAUCAUUAACAUCGAUAGACUCUAGUUAGGGUCUGAUCUGAGGCUGUCAUCAGUUUUUCCAAGCUGGUGUGCCUCUAAACGCAGAAGGUCUUGGGCUCGCUGAGCUGCUAGACGUUGUGUGAUGCGAGGAAGUGUCCUCAAAGCGCAGCGCUUCUAGUGUGUCUCUGCGGGUCGUUGAUAGGCUUUUUGUUGCUGUUGUGGGUGGUGUAGGUAGACUGCAUCGGUAACACAACACAUCCUUUGAAUUUGAUCUCAAAUCAGGCAAGACUACCCGCUGAACUUAAGCAUAUCAAUAAGCGGAGGCU
rnacentral:misc_RNA from 1 species